rnacentral:tRNA from 2 species
GCGGACGUGGCGAAACUGGUAGACGCACGAGACUUAAAAUCUUGCGCCCUAAAGGCUUGCGGGUUCGAGUCCCGCCGUCCGCA